AAGUCGUAACAAGGUUUCCGUAGGUGAACCUGCGGAAGGAUCAUUAACACGUAUCCAACGUUAAAACAACCCCCGUGAACUUUCAGCUUGCUCCUGUAGCCCGUGAAAACAGCAAUCCCUGGUAAAUCAUUGUUGACCAGCUUUUGAGUCAGGGACCUCUGCCGAUUGUGAUAUUUUAUAGCUACGGUUGAGCGAUUGCAUCUAGUGACCUGGCAUCCCCAAGUAAUCAGUGUACGAUCGCUGUAGGCCCACACGGCCGGCGACCGGGUCACCGGGCUCUGCCCCUUUACGACAACACAGUACGAAUUGGCCGCGCGUGAAAUUCGCACGGCACCAAAAACCGAACAACUGUUAACAAUGGAUAUCUUGGUUCUC
rnacentral:misc_RNA from 1 species